UACGUAGGGGGCGAGCGUUGUCCGGAUUUAUCGGGCGUAAAGAGCGUGUAGGCGGCCAGGUAGGUCUGCUGUGAAAACUCGAGGCUCAACCUCGAGACGUCGGCGGAAACCAUCUGGCUAGAGUCCGGAAGAGGAGAGUGGAAUUCCUGGUGUAGCGGUGAAAUGCGCAGAUAUCAGGAAGAACACCCGUGGCGAAGGCGGCUCUCUGGGACGGUACUGACGCUGAGGGACGAAAGCUAGGGGAGCGAAUGGG
rnacentral:rRNA from 1 species